ensembl:snoRNA SNORD16 Small nucleolar RNA SNORD16
UGCUAUGAUGGUGUAAUUUGCGUCCUACUUUGCGAUCAGUCGACAGAUGCCUACUGUCAAAUGCUGGUGCAAGUGAAUGACGACAAUUGAUUCUGAGCA